GCCUGGAUAGCCCAGCCUGGUUUGAGCGUGGUGCUGAUAACACCAAGGUAUUGCAGGUUCAGUCCCCGUGUGGGGCA